CAGCAAUGAGGUGUGGCUGUAGCCCAGGAAUAGUCAGGGAAGCAGAUAAUUUAAAUUUAGUUAAAGUGUCUCGGCCUAAUAAGGGAACAGGGCAGGUGGGGAUAACUAAAAAGGAGUGCUUAAAAGAGUAUUGUCUAAGUUGGCACCAGAGUUGAGGAGUUUUAAGAGGUUUAGAAGCCUGGCCGUCAGUACCUGCAAUAGUUACGGAGGCAAGGGAAACAAGCCUUUGAAAAGAAGGUAAUGUGGAGUGGGUUGCCUCUGUAUUGAUUAAGAAGGGGACAGACUUACCCUCCACUGUGAGAGUUACCCAGAGCGUCUGUGAUGGUCCUGUAGGCUUUUGAGGCGAUCUGGCAGUGUCAGUCUUCAGCUGCUAAGCUGAGAAGAUCUGGGAAGGAGUCAGAGAGCCUUGGGCCAGAGUUCUAGGGGCCCUGAGAGUGGCUGCCAGGGCACCGUGUCCAGCAGUGAGGCCACACCGGUUUGGGACGGCCAGAAGAUGGAAGUGCUCACACCUGACUUCUGGUCAGGCUGCUGCUCAGCAGGAGGCACGCAGAAGCUGCCGGGGAAAGCCUCUCCCAUCUGUGCGGCAAAAGGAGAGCAGCUGGCCCGAGAGUCCCUCUGCAUAAUGCAAUUACUCACAAUGUAGGUGGAGAAACGCAGGCGCAGAAAAGAACCUGGAACUAGCAGCUGUUUUGGCAGCCAGAUGAGAUGCCCCCUGGGAGAGCCAUGCCUCUUGUGGAAAGGGCCUGCUCCUCCUCACCUUCAGGAAGUUCUACUAAAAUUCAGUAAUCUUACUAGGCAGUAAGAUUCAGGACAUAGGCAUGGGCAAGGACUUCAUGUCUAAAACACCAAAAGCAAUGGCAACAAAAGACAAAAUUGACAAAUGGGAUCUAAUUAAACUAAA
rnacentral:lncRNA from 1 species